GAGUUUGAUCCUGGCUCAGAUUGAACGCUGGCGGCAGGCCUAACACAUGCAAGUCGAGCGGAUGAAGGGAGCUUGCUCCUGGAUUCAGCGGCGGACGGGUGAGUAAUGCCUAGGAAUCUGCCUGGUAGUGGGGGAUAACGUCCGGGAAACGGGCGCUAAUACCGCAUACGUCCUGAGGGGAGAAAGGUGGGGGAUCUUCGGACCUCACGCUAUCAGAUGAGCCUAGGUCGGAUUAGCUAGUUGGUGGGGUAAAGGCCUACCAAGGCGACGAUCCGUAACUGGUCUGAGAGGAUGAUCAGUCACACUGGAACUGAGACACGGUCCAGAC
rnacentral:rRNA from 1 species